GAACGCUGGCGGUAGGCCUAACACAUGCAAGUCGAACGGCAGCACAGUAAGAUCUUGCUCUUACGGGUGGCGAGUGGCGGACGGGUGAGGAAUACAUCGGAAUCUACUUUUUCGUGGGGGAUAACGUAGGGAAACUUACGCUAAUACCGCAUACGACCUACGGGUGAAAGCAGGGGAUCUUCGGACCUUGCGCGAUUGAAUGAGCCGAUGUCGGAUUAGCUAGUUGGCGGGGUAAAGGCCCACCAAGGCGACGAUCCGUAGCUGGUCUGAGAGGAUGAUCAGCCACACUGGAACUGAGACACGGUCCAGACUCCUACGGGAGGCAGCAGUGGGGAAUAUUGGACAAUGGGCGCAAGCCUGAUCCAGCCAUACCGCGUGGGUGAAGAAGGCCUUCAGGUUGUAAAGCCCUUUUGUUGGGAAAGAAAAGCAGCAGGUUAAUACCCCGCUGUUCUGACGGUACCCAAAGAAUAAGCACCGGCUAACUUCGUG
rnacentral:rRNA from 1 species